UACGGGAGGCAGCGGUGGGGAAUAUUGGACAAUGGGCGCAAGCCUGAUCCAGCAAUGCCGCGUGAGUGAUGAAGGCCUUCGGGUCGUAAAGCUCUUUUACCAGGGAUGAUAAUGACAGUACCUGGAGAAUAAGCUCCGGCUAACUCCGUGCCAGCAGCCGCGGUAAU
rnacentral:rRNA from 1 species